GAUGGUGUGAUUGCAUCAACAACUUGAAAAAAAUGAAACGCUUUUUUUGAUGGUCGUAAGAAAUAUACCUCUCAACCAAAUAAUUUUUUUAGGAAAUGUGAAUCAUUAUAUUUUUUAUUUUUGAUAAUUUAUAUAAACAUUUUUGAUUGUGUGUUGUUUACUAUAUUUAUACUACAAGGAAGCCUUUUUUUUUAAUCAACUCCGUUUUAAGAAUGAUUCUUACCUACUCGUGUCAAUCGCCAAUAAAAAAAAAAUUUAUCAACAACUUAUCUAGAUAGUUAAUGUAAAUAUAAAUCUAACAAAACCAGAAAAUAAAAAGCCAGAUUAAACUCCGUUUCCGUAAGUUGAAUCAGACUCAUACAAAAAUCACUUCAGGUAUAAAAUCAUUAGGAUUGGUUUCAUUUUAUAAUUUUAUUAUGAAAAAAGUAUUUUUUAUUUUAAAAAAAAAUUAAUUUUUUCUUUGAAUUAGAAAUUUGAAAAUGUUAGAAUAGAAAACAUUUAGCUUUUUUCUUUUUUUUUUACAAAAAAAUUAUCACCUUAUAAUAUUUGUUUGUUUAAAUGCCAUUCAACUAUAUUUCCCGUAAAACC